UUUGACCUCAAAUCAGGUAGGACUACCCGCUGAACUUAAGCAUAUCAAUAAGCGGAGGAAAAGAAACUAACAAGGAUUCCCCUAGUAACUGCGAGUGAAGAGGGAAAGCUCAAAUUUAAAAUCUGGCAGCUUUGGCUGUCCGAGUUGUAAUCUGGAGAAGUGUUUUCAGUGCAGGACCGUGUACAAGUCUCUUGGAAUGGAGCAUCAUAGAGGGUGAGAAUCCCGUCUUUGACACGGACUACCUGUGCUUUGUGAUACACUCUCAAAGAGUCGAGUUGUUUGGGAAUGCAGCUCAAAAUGGGUGGUAAAUUCCAUCUAAAGCUAAAUAUUGGCGAGAGACCGAUAGCGAACAAGUACCGUGAGGGAAAGAUGAAAAGCACUUUGGAAAGAGAGUUAAACAGUACGUGAAAUUGUUGAAAGGGAAACGCUUGGAGUCAGUCGCGUUUGUUAGAACUCAGCUUGGCUUCUGCUUAGUGUACUUUCUAAUGAACGGGCCAACAUCGAUUUCAGUCAGUGGAUAAGGGUAAGAGGAAUGUGGCACCUUCGGGUGUGUUAUAGCCUCUUAUCGUAUACAUUUACUGGGAUCGAGGUCUGCAGCACUUGUGCUUAGGAUGUUGGCAUAAUGGCUUUAAUCGACCCGUCUUGAAACACGGACCAAGGAGUCUAACAUGCCCGCGAGUGUUAGGGUGGUAAACCCUUGCGCGUAAUGAAAGUGAAAGUUGGGACCUCUGUCAUGGGGGGCACCGACGCCCGGUCCAGAACUUCUGUGACGGUACUGCGGUAGAGCGUGUAUGUUGGGACCCGAAAGAUGGUGAACUAUGCCUGAAUAGGGUGAAGCCAGAGGAAACUCUGGUGGAGGCUCGUAGCGAUUCUGACGUGCAAAUCGAUCGUCAAAUUUGGGUAUAGGGGCGAAAGACUAAUCGAACCAUCUAGUAGCUG
rnacentral:rRNA from 1 species